CAAGGAAAAUACUGAGAUGCCAACGUUUCCAGCACGGCGCACAGACUACAGUGAUAAAUCUCAAACCCACCUCCCCACCCAAGCUCUGACGGAGCUCCUUGCUGUCACCCUCCAGGCAGAGGGAAGAAUAGGCUGCUGGCGCCUCCACCGCACAUACUUAGGCAAUUGAUGCUCUGCUGGAGUAGAAGUCGGGGACUGGGAGCCCGGUGUGAAGCGUGACCUGGGGGAAGAGACUAGACCCCAAUGAAAAUGCAUCCUGGGGAAAUCUUUGAAAAUAAAGUGGAUCCACAAAAGACACUUCUCUACCUAGGAAACUGGUUAAAAAUACAUCUGAGGAAGAAGACACAAGCCAAAUGGAAAAAUGAGGUCUAGAGAAAAUAUCACAGAAUGUGUUAAAUUACAAUUGCUUAUAUUUUAGCAGUAACGAAAACCUCUGGAGGUUCCACUGUUCUUUUUCCCCAGAAAAUUGGGUGCUGAAUUCAUACACUAACAGGAGAGUUCUUCAAGUGUAAAACUAUCCGAAUUGGUAUCCAUAAGAUUUGGCUCAAUGAAUGACUACUAUUCUGAGCUGUGGUAUUAGUAAUUAUAUUAAGAAGAACAAUGGCUUCUAUUUUCCGGUGCCUCUGAUGGGAGGUAUUUUUGCAUGUCUCCAUUGUGGGAACAUUUCUGCAAGGAAAAAUAUGAUUCUCCUAAUUUAGUGGAUUUGGAAACUGAGGGUCAGAAAAACUAAGUAUCUUUAUCCCAAAAUGCUUUUCUGGUAAGUUGCAAGUCUAGGUUUUAGAAUCCUGGAAUGUUUUUCUAUAACAGAGAUUCACAGGGAUUCUUAGUUUCCAGCCCUGGGUAGAAUAUAGCAAUGAGGGGCCUAGGAAAGUACUCAUGUCUCUGUUAUUACGCAAAAAGUAUAAAACACCAGGUUGGACUCAGCUGAGUAGUUGAACUUAAUAAAGUCGCCUGCCCGACUUCC